GCCUCCCUAACAGGGGAAGGCUAACCGUUCUGCAGGCGUUCACAGCAAAGUUUCCUCACUCACUCACUCACUCACCGGUAUUUCCGAGUGCACGGCGGCAAGGAUUCAUUCGUUUGUACACUCAAGACUGGUUACUUCUUUGUUUCUAAAACUACUUUCUUGCGCUUCGAUGUCUCGCGUUAUUUAACUUGGGGUGAAGUUACGUGUUUGCAAGCGGACAUGUAAGCCCGGCAGUUGGGUUUCGGUCGUGAGCCAUUCGGAACAGGUCUGCAUCGAAACGGGAGCUGGAUUUUGCUGCGGCUGACAACGGCAACAACGACAUGCAGUAAUGAGGACGGCACCAGUAUAAAGCAACACACUCCACGCACUAAACAGAAGCUGCUGCCUGCUACAACAAGGUCAUUGUGUGGACAUUGGCUACUACUACAAGAGUCUAUGCCAAGCACAUCUUGGUCAUCACAGGAGCUCCUAUCUGCGCCAACAGGAAGGGGCUGGAGCCUAAUUUGCAAGGCUUUUACACCAAGAACAAAGAAGCACAUGCAGAAGAAUAUGAAUGAGAUAUCAAGUCUGCAGAGGACUGUGUCAAGACUGAAAAGAGCUUCAGCCACCAUUCCACCAGCACGGACAUUUGGCUGAGUCAUCCAGGUAACUCAAGAAGGACUUUCUAGAAAUUCUUCAUCUUCAGAUGCACCUGCAACAUCUGACCAAGCACGGACGACGCUGGCCAAAAGAUUGAGUUCCAUCAGUUUGCCCUUAAUCAGCUUCCUAGCCAUGUUAAUUCCGUUUGUGCCAAUUGUAAUUUUCUUCUAUAAAUGCAAGCUUUCUCAUUGCCCAUUUUUGUUAGAGGUCAUUCAUCCUCAUCCAAAUAUAAAGGUCAACCGAUUCUUCGCUGAUACUUAAUACCAGUCACUGUCUUGCAGCCUAACAUAUCUGUAGCAGUAUCUUCUAGUGUAUGUUGUCAUGCGCAAUUCCUCUCCUGAAAUAGCUGAUGCAGCAUCGGCAUGCGUCUUGCAUUAACCUAUGCACAUGUGCUAUGCACCAUUUUACUUUUCUUGAUGUUUUUAGCCUUCAAUGCUUGCAGAGCAGAGUGGCUUCUCUCUUGAAUGCAAGCUUUCUCAUUUUCCAUAUUCCUAGUCUCGAUGAUUGCUCCUCUUCCUUGAUAGCCUGGGUCUUUGUGCAAGCUACAGUGAAGUGAUUGAUUGCAGAAUCUGGUUUUGCUGCCACACUUGGUUGUGGUAACUGUGUUACGUUUCUCAGAUGUGGGGGCCUGGUCAAUUGCAUUGGUAAGCAGUCCCUCGAGGUAAGCAUUUGCUCCUGCAGUCCGCAAAGCGACAUAGACUCCCAGUAUACACACACCGUGACUGGUGCGCCCCGUUCGUUCUGGCCUGCUGCAGCCAUGGGCAAAUUGUGCUUGUGGCCUACUUCGGCCAUGAUUUGCUCAAAACGGAGAACAGCAUAUGUGCUUACAUGGUUCGAAGUGUAUGAAGUUGAUAGCCGUAUGGGGGGAAAGGCCCGCAAGAAUGGCUGCCGAAGGUGAUGCCCACAAAAGCGACUUGUCCACAUUGCGACAAAGUGUGAGCCACACAUAGCGGCCCCCGAAAGAAAAUAAAUGUGCAGGUUGGAAAGGAGUUAACGCUAAAAUGCCGGGUAGUCCAUGUCGCUGUGUUGGUUGCGGCAGCAGAUGCCUGCGUCACCUGAUUGCUUCGCAAUGGAAGUUGCUCAUCUUCAACGGCAACUGUUGAUUCAAACAGGUGCGAGGUUCUGUCCAAUCUGUUUGUACCGCAGGUUGUCGCUCGUUACCAGACCACCACAUGUGACAAAGGCAAGCAUUAUGCCUGUAAGAUGGUUCGUAGCCAAUGUAUAAUGUAUUGUCUGAACCUCAUGCGGUGACUGAUUGCUGUUUAAUUUUGCUGUUAUGUCACUUGGUUACGGUCGCAGUUUUAUGUUUUUCGAAUAUUGCGGCCUGGUCGGUUGCACUGGGAAGCAGUCUCGAAGUAAGCAUUCGCUCCUGCAGCCUGCACAGCGACAUAGACUCCCAAUUUUCAUGCAUCGUGAUUCGUGCUCCGCGUUCGCGCUUUCCUGCUGCAGCAAUGGGCAUAUUGUGCCUCUGGCCUUUCUCGGCCGCGAUUAGGCAUGAACGGAGACCAGCAUACGUGCUUACAUAGUCCGAUGCGUAUGAAGUUGAUAGCCAGAUGGUUGGAAAGGCCCGCAAAAGUAGCUGAUGGAGGCGAUGCCCACGAAAGCGACUUGUCCAUAGUGAGACAAUGUGAGACGCCAAGUGUGAGCCACACAUUAGCGGCCCCCGAAAGAAAAGAAACGUGCAGGUUGGAAAGGAGUGAACGGCUAAAAUCUGGGGUAGCUCAUGUCGCUGUGUAGGCUGCGGCAGCAGAUGCCUGCGUCUCCCGAUAGCUUCACAAUGCAAUUUGGGCAUUUUUUACGGCGACUGUCGCUGCAAACAAGUGGAACACUCUGUCCAAUAUGUUUCCGCUGCUGGUUGUUGCUCGUUAACCUGACCACCACGUGCGACGACGACGGUGAGCCGUUUAAGAGCUCGCGUCAAUGAUUCCAGCGUAUCUCGACAUGCAAAUUUUAUUUCUGCUAUUGCACGAGAAUGUACACUGCUUGUCUUCUGCCAAUAAAGUCGCGCGUUCUGUCCACUCA